AUCACUUCAGCAGCUGGUUCCACCCGGGUAGGCUUCACCACUAUUCUGACCUGCUUCUUCUUCUUCUUGGGAGAAGGAGGACCAUCCUCAUUAUCACCAUCAUCACCAUCAUCUGGCUUGCUGGUUUCAUCAUGUUUUCUCUUGGAUUGACCAGCCUUCUUCCCUUUGGUCAGAGAGACAUCUGAUUCCUCAGAGGAUUCUUCUAAGAUCAUCUUCCUCUGAACCUUCUUCUUGAGAGGAGAAUCAAGCUCUAGUGCAGGAGGCAACAUUCUGAAGAAUUCAUCAACAUCAAUCUCAAAGCCUUGACUCUUCAGAUCAUCAACGAAGCACCUGAUUGCU
rnacentral:lncRNA from 1 species